GGCCAGACUCCUACGGGAGGCAGCAGUGGGGGAUAUUGCACAAUGGGGGAAACCCUGAUGCAGCGACGCCGCGUGGGCGAAGAAGUAUUUCGGUAUGUAAAGCCCUAUCAGCAGGGAAGAAGAAAUGACGGUACCUGAGUAAGAAGCCCCGGCUAACUACGUGCCAGCAGCCGCGGUAAUACGUAGGGGGCAAGCGUUAUCCGGAUUUACUGGGUGUAAAGGGAGCGUAGACGGCGAUGCAAGUCUGAAGUGAAAGGCGGGGGCCCAACCCCUGGACUGCUUUGGGAACUGUACGGCUGGAGUGCAGGAGAGGUAAGUGGAAUUCCUAGUGUAGCGGUGAAAUGCGUAGAUAUUAGGAGGAACACCAGUGGCGAAGGCGGCUUACUGGACUGUAACUGACGUUGAGGCUCGAAAGCGUGGGGAGCAAACAGGAUUAGAUACCCGUGUA
rnacentral:rRNA from 1 species